rnacentral:rRNA from 1 species
UACGUAGGGGGCAAGCGUUAUCCGGAUUUACUGGGUGUAAAGGGAGCGCAGACGGCAGUGCAAGUCUGGAGUGAAAGCCCGGGGCCCAACCCCGGGACUGCUCUGGAAACUGUACGGCUAGAGUACGGGAGGGGCAGGCGGAAUUCCGUGUGUAGCGGUGAAAUGCGUAGAUAUACGGAGGAACACCAGUGGCGAAGGCGGCCUGCUGGACAUUAACUGACGCUGAGGCGCGAAAGCGUGGGGAGCAAACAGG